CGCUGUUCUGGCUUAGGAACAGCCUUGCUAGCUUCACCCCGCUGUCCUGCAGAAGCUAGCAAGGCUGUUCCUAAGCCAGAACAGCG